rnacentral:rRNA from 1 species
UACGUAGGUGGCAAGCGUUGUCCGGAUUUAUUGGGUUUAAAGGGCGCGUAGGUGGCCCGGUCAGUUCGUGGUGAAAGCGCGGGGCUCAACCCUGCGUCGGCCAUGAAUACUGCCGCGGCUGGAGCACUGUAGAGGCAGGCGGAAUUCCGGGUGUAGCGGUGGAAUGCGUAGAGAUCCGGAAGAACACCGGUGGCGAAGGCGGCCUGCUGGGCAGUUGCUGACACUGAGGCGCGACAGCGUGGGGAGCAAACAGG